rnacentral:rRNA from 1 species
AGAGUUUGAUUCUGGCUCAGAACGAACGCUGGCAGCGUGGAUUAGGCAUGCAAGUCGAACGUGAAGCCGAUGAACAAUCUUUCGGGAGAGUGAUUCGGUGGAAAGUGGCGAAAGGGUGAGUAACGCGUGGGUGAGCUAUCUCAAAGUUGGGGACAACCAGAUGAAAAUCUGGCUAAUACCGAAUGUGGUCUUCUGGCGCAUGUCAGAGUGACUAAAGGCGGGGAUUCUUCGGAACCUGCCGCUUUGUGAGGUGCCCGCGUGCCAUCAGCUUGUUGGUAGGGUAAUGGCCUACCAAGGCUUACGGCUAGCCGGCCUGAGAGGGUGAUCGGCCACACUGGGACUGGGACACUGCCCAGACUCCUACGGGAGGCUGCAGUCGAGGAUCAUUCGCAAUGCGCGAAAGCGUGACGAUGCGACGCUGCGUGGGGGAUGAAGGCCUUCGGGUCGUAAACUCCUGUCAUGAGGGAAAAGUAUCCCUGCAAUUAAUAGUUGUGGGGCUCGAUGGUACCUCAAGAGGAAGCCACGGCUAACUCUGUGCCAGCAGCCGCGGUAAUACAGAGGUGGCGAGCGUUGUUCGGAUUUACUGGGCGUAAAGGGUGCGUAGGUGGUUUUGUGUGUCGGAUGUGAAAUCCCAUGGCUCAACUGUGGAAUUGCAUUUCGAAACUGCGGAACUAGAGUGCAGGAUGGGAGAGCGGAAUUCUUGGUGUAGCGGUGAAAUGCGUUGAUAUCAAGAAGAACACCGGUGGCGAAGGCGGCUCUCUGGAAUGCUACUGACACUGAGGCACGAAAGCUGGGGGAGCGAACAGGAUUAGAUACCCUGGUAGUCCCAGCCGUAAACGGUGCACACUUGGUGUGGGGAGAUUUAACCCUCUCCGUGCCGGAGCUAACGCGUUAAGUGUGCCGCCUGGGGAGUACGGCCGCAAGGCUAAAACUCAAAGAAAUUGACGGGGGCCCGCACAAGCGGAGGAGCAUGUGGCUUAAUUCGAUUCAACGCGAAGAACCUUACCAGGGCUUGACAUAUACCUGCACGCCCCGUGAAAGCGGGGAAGCUUUCGAAGGUGGUAUACAGGUGCUGCAUGGCUGUCGUCAGUUCGUGCCGUGAGGUGUUGGGUUAAGUCCCGUAACGAACGCAACCCUUGUGGCUAGUUGCCACCGGCGGUGAUGAGCCGCCGAGCACUCUAGCCAGACUGCCCGUACAAGCGGGAGGAAGGUGGGGAUGACGUCAAGUCAGUAUGGCCCUUACGCCCUGGGCUGCACACGUGCUACAAUGGUCGGUACAAUGGGAUGCAAUACCGCGAGGUGGAGCCAAUCCCCAAAGCCGCCCUC